rnacentral:rRNA from 1 species
AUUGAACGCUGGCGGAAUGCUUUACACAUGCAAGUCGAACGGCAGCACGGACUUCGGUCUGGUGGCGAGUGGCGAACGGGUGAGUAAUGUAUCGGAACGUGCCCAGUCGUGGGGGAUAACGUAGUGAAAAUUACGCUAAUACCGCAUACGAUCUAUGGAUGAAAGCGGGGGAUCGCAAGACCUCGCGCGAUUGGAGCGGCCGAUAUCAGAUUAGGUAGUUGGUGGGGUAAAGGCCCACCAAGCCAACGAUCUGUAGCUGGUCUGAGAGGACGACAAGCCACACUGGAACUGAGACACGGUCCAGACUCCUACGGGAGGAAGCAGUGGGGAAUUUUGGACAAUGGGCGAAAGCCUGAUCCAGCCAUUCCGCGUGCAGGAUGAAGGCCCUCGGGUUGUAAACUGCUUUUGUACAGAACGAAAAGGUUUCUACUAAUACUAGGAGCUCAUGACGGUACUGUAAGAAUAAGCACCGGCUAACUACGUGCCAGCCGCCGCGGUAA